rnacentral:rRNA from 1 species
UACGGGGGGGGCAAGCGUUGUUCGGAUUUACUGGGCGUAAAGGGCGCGUAGGCGGCCUGUGCAAGUCAGUUGUGAAAUCUCCGAGCUUAACUCGGAAAGGUCAACUGAUACUGCUCGGCUAGAGUGCGGAAGGGGCAACUGGAAUUCUUGGUGUAGCGGUGAAAUGCGUAGAUAUCAAGAGGAACACCUGCGGCGAAGGCGGGUUGCUGGGCCGACACUGACGCUGAUGCGCGAAAGCUAGGGGAGCGAACGGG